UACGAAGGGGGCAAGCGUUGUUCGGAAUUACUGGGCGUAAAGGGCGCGUAGGCGGCUUAUCAAGUCAGGCGUGAAAUUCCCGGGCUUAACUCGGAACGGUCAAGUGAUACUGUCGGACUAGAGUACAGAAGGGGCAACUGGAAUUCUCGGUGUAGCGGUGAAAUGCGUAGAGAUCAGGAAGAACACCGGUGGCGAAAGCGCUCUGCUGGACCUUAACUGACACUGAGGGACGAAAGCUAGGGGAGCGAAUGGG
rnacentral:rRNA from 1 species